GUGAGGAAUAUUGCGCAAUGGAGGCAACUCUGACGCAGCCAUGCCGCGUGCAGGAAGAAGGCGCUACGCGUUGUAAACUGCUUUUAACCGGGAAGAAACCCCAGGACGUGUCCUGGGUUGACGGUACCGGAGGAAUAAGCACCGGCUAACUUCGUGCCAGCAGCCGCGGUAAUACGAAGGGUGCAAGCGUUAUCCGGAUUCAUUGGGUUUAAAGGGUGCGUAGGCGGAGCGUUAAGUCAGUGGUGAAAUCCUGCAGCUUAACUGUAGACUUGCCAUUGAUACUGGCGCUCUUGAGUGCGCUUGAAGUGGGCGGAAUGUGCCGUGUAGCGGUGAAAUGCUUAGAUAUGGCACAGAACACCAAUUGCGAAGGCAGCUCACUAAGGCGAUACUGACGCUGAGGCACGAAAGCGUGGGGAGCAAACAGGAUUAGAUACCCGAGUAGUCC
rnacentral:rRNA from 1 species